UACGUAGGGACCGAGCGUUGUCCGGAAUCAUUGGGCGUAAAGCGCGCGCAGGCGGUCCUUUAAGUCUGAUGUGAAAGCCCACGGCUCAACCGUGGAGGGUCAUUGGAAACUGGGGGACUUGAGUGCAGGAGAGAAGAGUGGAAUUCCACGUGUAGCGGUGAAAUGCGCAGAGAUGUGGAGGAACACCAGUGGCGAAGGCGACUCUUUGGCCUGUAACUGACGCUGAGGCGCGAAAGCGUGGGGAGCAAACAGG
rnacentral:rRNA from 1 species